rnacentral:rRNA from 1 species
UACGGGGGGGGCAAGCGUUGUUCGGAAUUACUGGGCGUAAAGGGCGCGUAGGUGGCCAACUAAGUCAGACGUGAAAUCCCUCGGCUUAACCGGGGAACUGCGUCUGAUACUGGAUGGCUUGAGUUUGGGAGAGGGACGCGGAAUUCCAGGUGUAGCGGUGAAAUGCGUAGAUGUCUGGAGGAACACCGGUGGCGAAGGCGGCGUCCUGGACCAAUACUGACACUGAAACGCGAAAGCCAGGGGAGCAAACGGG